AGAACCACAGUUUCCUAUUAGACAAGAAGUGACAGGUUACCGUAAUCCAGAACCAAUAAAAAAUGGCAAAAGUAACAGGAUGCUAUUUCCAUGGUUAUAUCACAUAAGAUUGUAAUGUCUGUCUUGUCAGCUGACUCUAUCCCAUCCUGGCUUUGAUGAAGUAAGCUGCUGUGAUGCAAACUGCUCUCUGGAGAGGUGACAAACCUAAGGCAGGCUUUGGACAAUACCUAGGAAGAAACUGAGACCCUCAGUCCUACAACCUGCAAAGAACCAAAUUCUGCCAACAACCAAACAACCAUAUGAGCUUGAAAGCAGAUUCUUCCUGAGCUGAGCCUUGACAGAAGAAUACAUCUCAUACCUAAGUCUUGAUUGCAGCCAGAUGAGAGACUCUGAAGCAGAGGAUUCAGCUACUCUGUGCCCAGACUCCUGACUCACAGAAACUGUGAGCUAACAAUGUAUGGUAUUUUAAGCCACCAAGUUUGCGGUAAUUUGUUAUGAGCAGUAGAUAACUAACAUGCUGCUACAAUAAUUUCGAUACUUUUCAUUAAUUUAUGUCUUUGAGAAUCAGUCUACAGACAGAAUACAAAGAAGAAUGGAUAUGAAAAUGCAACAGUAUUUUAAGUCUUUUCAAACUCAGCGUCGUGAAAGUAAGAAAUUGGGGUGUGGAGUGGAUGUGGGAAGUAGAGAAGAAAUGGUAGGUAAUAGUGCUUAUAGGUUCAUUUUAUAAUGUGAGGAGUCAGCUUUAUGUAACAAGGAAUAAAGGCGUAGAUCUAUUAUGUAAAUUUACAAAAGGAAAAAAGUGGGUGAAGUAAAAAUAUUAUGAAUAAAGAAGAUGGGAUACUUUGAGUGAACCAAAGUAGCAUUUCUCAGGGAAGGAAGUUAAUAGAAUGCUACAUGAUAAAGCAAUAUGGUAGAAACCUGUUAGUGAGAUAGCUGGAAGUAACUAGCAGUAGAAACAACGACUAGAGUUGAAAGUAGUUGCCUCUUGUCAUAAGAGAAUGAAGCAAUAGGGUGUUAAUUUUCAUUUUCCCUAUAAACUAGGUCAUUU
rnacentral:lncRNA from 10 species